UACGGAGGGUGCGAGCGUUGUCCGGAAUCACUGGGCGUAAAGGGCGCGUAGGCGGCGCGGAAAGUCAACGGUGAAAGCUCGGGGCUCAACCCCGAGUCGGCCGUCGAUACUUCUGUGCUUGAGCACUGUAGAGGCAGGUGGAAUUCCUGGUGUAGCGGUGGAAUGCGCAGAUAUCAGGAGGAACACCGGUGGCGAAGGCGGGUCUCUGGGCCAUUACUGACGCUGAGGAGCGAAAGCGUGGGGAGCGAACAGG
rnacentral:rRNA from 1 species